rnacentral:rRNA from 1 species
AGAGUUUGAUCCUGGCUCAGGAUGAACGCUAGCUACAGGCUUAACACAUGCAAGUCGAGGGGCAGCAUGGUCUUAGCUUGCUAAGGCCGAUGGCGACCGGCGCACGGGGUGAGUAACACGUAUCCAACCUGCCGUCUACUCUUGGACAGCCUUCUGAAAGGAAGAUUAAUACAAGAUGGCAUCAUGAGUCCGCAUGUUCACAUGAUUAAAGGUAUUCCGGUAGACGACGGGGAUGCGUUCCAUUAGAUAGUAGGCGGGGUAACGGCCCACCUAGUCUUCGAUGGAUAGGGGUUCUGAGAGGAAGGUCCCCCACAUUGGAACUGAGACACGGUCCAAACUCCUACGGGCGGCAGCA